rnacentral:rRNA from 1 species
AUGGGGAAGAACCAGGCGUACAAGGCGAUGCAGCGGGCGCGGCUGGGCUCGUCCUCCGGCGCCCCCGGCGAAGGGGAGGAAGACGGCAUGACGGACGGUUCAUUUCAUUCUCCAGAGUGGCACGCGGCGCGCUUGGCCAGCCUCAACAAGACCCACACCCUCACGUGGGAGGAGUUCAAGAAGAAGCAGAAGGACGAGGAGCUAAAGAGAGGUGAGGUGGAGGCUGACAAAGAUAAAAUGAUGAGAGAGUAUAGAGCUCAACUGGAUGCUGAAAGGGCCCAAAAGCUUGGUCGUGGAAGAGACGUUGUAAAGUCAAAAUCAUCAUCUUCCAAGAAAGAAAAGAAGGAAAAGGACGCAAAGAAACGGAUUAAAAAGAGGAGGAAGCACAGAAGUUCGUCAGAAAGUUCCAGCUCAUCAGAAUCAUCAAGUAGUGAUGAUGAGGACAGGGGUUCAAGAAAAUCCCGAUCCCGAUCAAGAUCAAAGCGAAGUAAGAAAGAUAAGAAGCACAGGUCCCGAUCCAAGCAUGCGGGAAGUGACAGCGAGGAGGAAGGCCCUGUUCGCCUCUCGAAAUUCUUUGGGAAUGCAAAGAAUUAG